UUUUGCUCGGCGGCGCGGCAGACAGACGUGUACACGUGUGCCUGGCCGUUUUUCGAUCUGCGGUAGCUCAGGCUCCUCGUUCAGUGGGAAGGGAUCCCGGGGCGGGAGGGGGGUGGGGAAUGUGACUGACAGACUUGGGUCCUCCAUCAAUUACAAUUGCCAAUUGUAAUUGGGCAAUGACAGCGGAAUGUAGUAGUCUCCGAGAUGCAGGACGUAGGGGCAGCGCGUUAGGGCCCGGAGGACGAGGCAUCAGAGCCCAAACCUUGGGGUGUGGCAUAGGACCUGGCCGAGGGGCGACGCGUCCAAAUUCUGGGGCCUUGAGAGCCUAGAGUCUCCAGUGAGCAGGGCUACUACGACGUUGAAAGGACCCUCGAGUUAGACUGCGGAGAUGGGCUUUAUCCCCCCACAGUGUAGAGCUGUUGUCAGUUUCAGGCGGGGCGCGCUGUGGCCCUAAUUUCAUUUUAUUAAGGGGCCAGGGUAGGGUCAGACCAGUGGCCUAAAGCCUCCUUGUUGAACUCGGUGGCCAGCUGCCGCUUCUGCAAUGGACAGCCACUCUAACUAAAGCAGGAAGAUAGAGAAAUGCGCCAGCAGCUACAGUCCGUGUACAGCCCUGCAGCCUUGUACCACUGCAGGUAGUAAAGCUGGAGAGCCACUGUUUGGCAACCAGGUCCAGGCAGGCUUGGAGCUGACAGCAUCUCAUUCUGUGGCUUCCUGCCCAGGGGCUCCUCGGAUGCCGGAGUGCCCAGACUCUGCUUUCAGAGGGGCCCAGCCUAAAACAACCCGUUAUAAGAUGAUCUUACUUUCUUGGAAAUGCUGCAUUACAAAAAAAUGGGAAGAAGAAUCAAAAGGAGCGAGAAACAUGAUCGUCUAUGGAGAACCUUCCUUGGAGAAGGGUAGACUCUUGCCUGUUACGCAUUCGUCUGUGUGAGGGGAACGGAGUGAGGGUAGAGGAAGCAGGAUGCUGAGGGAGCUGGAGCAGCUUUGUUGUCUAGGAUGACCCCGUUGCACACCUGAGUUGGCUGCUUACUACUGACUCUCUGAUCCUGGCAGAUGUCCGCCUCUGAACCUGUUUCCUCACCUGUAACACAGAGGCAGUAAAUGCCAACUCAUACGGUGAGACACAGAGACCAUGUCAGCUGAGUGCCGAGCCCGGUGCCCAGGCCCUGGUGUGCGUCAGUAAAUGCUGUCUUGGUGGAACAGCCCUGUGUAAUCAGCUUGGGACUGUCCGGGACCAAGUUUCUCCUGCUGCUUCCUGUGUGCUUACUUCCCUUCCACAGUAAAAUGGUGAGCCUCUCAAAGGCAGUGAUAGAAGUCUGUGAUCAAUAGACACAUUAUCCCUUUCAAAUAAACGACUCCAGCGUUACUGCCCAGACCAGCAGAGGCCUCAGCCCCUAGGGAUUGCUUGCUUCCCAUAGCAGGUCGGUGCCCAGGAAGCCACUCUGAGACAGUUAUGUAUGCAGGAAGUUUAUUGGGGUGGGUUCUUGGGGUCAACACUGUGAUGGAAGGGAAGGAAGCAGGAUGAGGCAGAUGUGGGCUGCGAUGCAGUCACAAGGCCUCAACUGACCCUGUGGGGAGCACUGGAGCUAGAGUGGCCCUUCAGGGUUGUCCUCAGGCUUUAAAUCCCUGCCCUGUCCAGUCAUUGGAUGUGGCUGCCCUGAGAAGGAGGCACUGCCAGCCCGCACAUUCCCGGCCACGGGGAAAGAAGUGAAGUGGGGGCUCUGAGUGGAGCAGCGCCCACCACACCUUCAGUUCUAAUGGGUGGCUCUGGAGGAUGUGGCAGUUACUGCUAGCUCUCCACCCAGUGUCCACUCACCCCUUCUUCCUUAUUAAGAGGUGCCUGAUUGUUUGAGACAGCAGUGUGCCCAAUAAAAAUACUCACUUUCCUAGACUCCUUUGCAGUGGAGGUGGGCCAGCGACCGCACUGUGGCUAGUAAGAUGUAAAUAGCAGUCUGGGCUCCUGAUGACGUGGUGGAGCCGUUAGAGAAAAUGAAAGGCUGUAUCUGCUUAACCUCUGUGAUCAGGUUUCUGUUGUAUGUAACCAAACAGUUCUAAAUGGUUCACAGAGGCAUUAUCAUAUCCUGUCUUAAGAACAGGGUCCUUCAAGUUAAAUGAACGACACCUCUGGGUCCCAGCUCUGUGCAUACCAGCUAGCUCUGUGGAACCUCGGAGGAGUCACUCCACCCGGCUUCCUGUUUCUGUAAAAUGGGAACGACAGGACUACCUGGCACAUGUCUCAUGUAACACUAGGGUAGCCAACUUGUCCCAGUUUGCCUGGACUUGCUCAGUUUUAGCACUGAAACCCCAGACAAACAGGGACAGCUGGUCACCCCAUUAAAACACAUCCCCAAACACCCUACCUCCUUUACGGAUGGAAGACGGCCCUGAAGGCUAAAAAUUCUAUUUGAUGCUGCCCC
rnacentral:lncRNA from 1 species